rnacentral:tRNA from 1 species
GCCAGAGUGGCAUAGUGGUUUGAGUGUUGAACUACAACUCUGGAGACCAGAGUUCGAUUCCCAGCUUGGCCA